CCUACGGGAGACAGCAGUGAGGAAUAUUGGUCAAUGGACGCAAGUCUGAACCAGCCAUGCCGCGUGCAGGAAGACGGCUCUAUGAGUUGUAAACUGCUUUUGUACGAGGGUAAACUCAGACACGCGUACCUGUCUGAAAGUAUUUUAUGAAUAAGGAUCGGCUAACUCCGUGCCAGCAGCCGCGGUAAUACGGAGGAUUCAAGCGUUAUCCGGAUUUAUUGGGUUUAAAGGGUGCGUAGGCGGUCGGUUAAGUUAGAGGUGAAAUCCCGAGGCUCAACUUCGGAAUUGCCAUUGAUACUGGUCGGCUAGAGAAUAGUUGCGGUAGGCGGAAUGUAUGGUGUAGCGGUGAAAUGCUUAGAGAUCAUACAGAACACCGAUUGCGAAGGCAGCUUACCAAGCUACUUCUGACGUUGAGGCACGAAAGCGUGGGGAGCAAACAGGAUUAGAUACCCGGGUAGUC
rnacentral:rRNA from 1 species